AGCUGUGUUGAGGUCGAGUGUAUU
rnacentral:siRNA from 1 species